rnacentral:rRNA from 1 species
CCUACGGGCGGCAGCAGUGGGGAAUAUUGGACAAUGGGGGGAACCCUGAUCCAGCCAUGCCGCGUGUGUGAAGAAGGCCCUCGGGUUGUAAAGCACUUUCAGUGAGGAAGAACGCCUGGUGGUUAAUACCCAUCAGGAAAGACAUCACUCACAGAAGAAGCACCGGCUAACUCCGUGCCAGCAGCCGCGGUAAUACGGAGGGUGCGAGCGUUAAUCGGAAUUACUGGGCGUAAAGCGCGCGUAGGUGGCUUGAUAAGCCGGUUGUGAAAGCCCCGGGCUCAACCUGGGAACGGCAUCCGGAACUGUCAAGCUAGAGUGCAGGAGAGGAAGGUAGAAUUCCCGGUGUAGCGGUGAAAUGCGUAGAGAGCGGGAGGAAUACCAGUGGCGAAGGCGGCCUUCUGGACUGACACUGACACUGAGGUGCGAAAGCGUGGGUAGCAAACAGGAUUAGAUACCCUAGUAGUC